rnacentral:rRNA from 1 species
GACUCUCGGCAACGGAUAUCUCGGCUCUCGCAUCGAUGAAGAACGUAGCGAAAUGCGAUACUUGGUGUGAAUUGCAGAAUCCCGUGAACCAUCGAGUCUUUGAACGCAAGUUGCGCCCGAAGCCUUCGGGCCGAGGGCACGCCUGCCUGGGCGUCACAC